GUCGCCGCGCCGGCCGCCAGGCGCUGGCCCUCGCUUUCGCCCCGCGCCGAGCGCCACACCUGGCUCUCUCUCCGCGCGGCCCAUAGAGAUGUGGGUAGAGGGCCGAGCGUCAGGCGCCGGCCCCUCUUCUUCCCCGCGCCGGGGGAGACCGCUCGCCAGCAUGCGCGGCCGAGGGCAGGGUGCGGCGACGCCGACUGAGGACGGGCAGCCGAGGUUGGGGGCUGGAUCCGCGGAAGGAGAGGCAAGCAUGAACGGGUAGCCGCUUUUGAAGGCAGGGUGCAGCGGCCGCCAUGGUCGCAGGCGGAUGCCACACAACGGACAGCCGCACAGGCAAACGCGGAAGCCGGGCCGGCGGCCGAAGUAGGCGUGGCAUCAUCCUCCCCUCUCUCCACGGAUCCGGUUGAGCCGGGCGGCGCAGCCGGCGGGGGCCACCAACUCCACGCGCGCGUAGCGGCCGGCAGAUUCAAGUGUCGCUUGAAGUGAGCGGCAACCGGCGGGAGCGAGAAGCUCCAAGCGCCUGCCGAAGCAUUGCUCGGAGUAGGCGUCAGCCGGCAGGAGCAACCGAGCAAGCGACUUCGCCCGGCGUCCGGUGAAGGCCCUCUUCGCUCGGCUUCCUGGCACAGUUUCGUGGAAGCAUGGGACGCUGCUCUUCCGCACGCGGCAGAAUUUCUCAGCCUUUGGCGCACUGCGUACCGCUGUUCAUCGCCCACAGCCGUAAGAGAUUAUGCCCAUCAGAGUGAGAGAUAUUACACAAGUGAUGCUGCAAAAUCUGCAUAAACCUUUGGUUUGCAUAAGGAUAAGGUCGUUGUGACAACUGAGUAUACAGAUAGCACAUGCACAUCAGAAUCUUCUCAGGAUGCAGCAGGAAUACAAAGAUUUGGUACAGAAUCAUUACAAUCUCUGAUGGAAAUUUCAACCUCCCUGACACUGUGCACCUGAUCGACCGAAUGUUUAAGAGGAAUUCUUGAGGCCAAGGUCCUUGUGACAACUGAGUAUAGUGAAAACACAUCAGAAUCUUCUCAGGGUGCUGCAGGAAUACAAAGACUUGGCAGUACAUCUAAAGACCAUGUGAAUAAAUUAGAGAUUAGAAGUAGCAAUAAUGGAACAUUUUUUAGAGUUAAUUACCUUUAUUCAAAUUUCAGGGUAUCCCUGAUCUGAAACUUGCAGAAGAGGCAGCGGAUUAUCUUAGGCACAAUUUUGAACUGCUCUUCACUGUACAUACUCAUGUACCGCCUUGGCUUCUAUGACUACAUUUCAAUUUUAUGU